AGUUUAUAAGCACUUUGGUGGAACAAUUCCCGCUCUUAUUUAAGUUGUUGUGUUGUUGAAGUGAGACCAUUUCCAUUUAUAAUAAGUAACAGAAUGUCAGAAGCUAAUCAAUCUAGUUGUUCAGAAAUGCCCAGCAUUAGUGUACCUGAUAAAACGGAUACAGAGUUCAUGAUGUCCAUUGUGAUAAUUUCUACAGCUGACCUUGCCAAGAGUAUGAAGGAAGCACUGCUCAAAUACCACAAAGCUCAUGAGGAGCAAUAUAAACUCUAUGUCCAUGUUUCAGAGAGAGUGAAACAGAUACUGAGUAACUUAGCCAUGCAUGUGGAUUACUACAUAAUCUUGGCAGAUCCGAGACGAGCUGAUGCUGCAGAUAAAGUCAAAGAAGACUUGUUGCAUCUCAAUCCUGUGUUUCUGGCCACCGGUCGGUGUGUGAUAGCUGUGUCCUGGCCAGAGAGAAUACUACCACACCUGGUUGCGACGUGCUCGGCAGACGUACAUAACCUCUGCAGAGACAAGAUGCUGCACAAACUAGUUCAGCGAGAAGAGGGCCUUGCUGGGAAGGUAUAAACUUGAAGCAUACUUCAAAUGGGUGCUGUCCCAGGUGUCAGUGUUGCAGCCACUCCUGUUCCUUACUUACAUAAAUGAUACGCCCUCUAGUAUUGAGAUGCACCUUGCCGAAAGACUACUACGCCUUGCCAGGACUACUCGAGGGCUGACUGGCUCUGGAAUACCAAAUGUCACAGGCCGCUUCAACCCUGGCCGCUACUGGCAUUCCUCAGCUGGAGCAACAGCAAUGCUACUGCCAUGGGGUGUUGGUGGUGAUGGUUAUGAUGAUGAUUGAAAUAGUGAACAAUGACAAAAUAAUUGUUGUUUUUUGCUUGGGGGGGGGGGGGGGGGGGGAUCUUGGAGGAAGUGUAAAUAGUUGGAAAAACUGAGGAUUUACUACAGAUAGGUAUAAUUUAUGCUCAAGUAAGCUGUAAUUUAUAAUUCAUUUGUGUAAACAAUAUAUACAGACAUAUUUCUUCUACAAAACAAUUACACUAUUAUACAGAGAGUGUGAAGAUACUAACAACAUUCUGUGCACUUGUUUCUCAAACACUCCUUUUAGCAACUCAGCAGUUUUCCCUGUAAUGUCAGCUGUUUCUGCUUUAUUUUUUAUUUUCUGUGGUUCUCAUUAUGGUAAAAAUAAUGAAGCUGCUGAGACACCAAAAUUACAUAUUUAUAGAAACAAUAAAUUAAUCUGAUUUGCUAACAAGUGUAUAAAUUUACCUUGAUUGACAACAGGCUGGAAUUUCAAUACAAUUCUUUCAAGAGUGGCUUAAAACUAAAGGCAGUCUUAAAGUUUGAGAAAUAUAUAUUCAUACAAAAUAUACGGAAAUUUCAUCACAAGUAUGUACGAAAACGAUUAAAAAUACUGAUUUCUACAAACACAGUCUCUUGUAAAUUUUGAAUGUUUCCCUGUUUCUGCUUUGAAAUCCCACAAGAUCAGUGAAGUUGGUUGGCAAAGACGGAUCAGUCUGCGCUGGAGAGACCCGAGUGGCAGUGUGACAAUGCAAGGCAUUCAGCCAGGUCGCAGCAGUGGCCCGAACUAAACAAAAUGCAGUGAAACUUUCUCCUGGUCCCCAAAAUCAAUAUUGUAUAAAAUGUACAGUACCAAAGUGUAAAAGAUUCCAAAGCUUCGUGACAUUGUGAUAAAAUAUUACAACUUACCACAAGCCUGAAAUUUAACACUCUUCGCACACUCUACCUAAAAAGCAUCAUUUCUUUAUUGCACAAAAGUGCAACAACAUUUUGUUUGCAUCUAGACAUUCAGGGAGACUAGGAUUACAGUUUCCAUAAUUAUAAUAUAAGGACAACUAGCUACUUCGAAUAAGUCACAUCUUUGGUUAUGCAUCGAGGAAGUAAGAGUCAUCAGCUGAACAUUUGGUAACAUUUUCAUGUGAUUCAG